ensembl:lncRNA
AAGAUUUCGACAGACAGAAGAGAAGACAACAUGACCAGACAAAUAAAGAUUGCAGUGAUGUAGUCGCAAAUCAAAGAUUUCCAGUGCCACUGGAGGCUGGAAAGAGAGAAGAGGAAUGGAUUCUCCCCUGGACUCUCGGGAAGAAUGUUGUCAUGACGAAAAUCAGAAGAAAAGAAAAUGAAGAGGACAAAUGAAGCCUAGGGCUACAAGUAUUUGAAAAUGUAAAAAAUGUGGCAAGUACGGACUGUGGAGGAAUUCAAGUUUAUAUACAUGGUUGGGAGCAGGAAAUGUGGAGAAUAAAAAUUUCCUGUGCCUUCUGAAAUGCAUCCCCUUUGUCUAAGAUUUUCAAGAUCAGAACUAUUGAGAGGGUCUUGAUAUUUUCAGCUCAUUUUCUUUGGAUGACCACCCUCCCCUCUCACGAGGCCCUUGAGAAGCAAACAGGCACUCUUUCUUUCCAUGCUGAAAUGAAGAAAUGACUGAGUGAGUAUGUAAUGACUCGUGGAAGACCACACAGCAAGUUGGAAGAAGAUUCUGGAUUAGAAGCUUACAAUUUUCAUGUCACCCCCAGGAGUGCAAAACUGGUCCACAAGCAAAGUUUUUUUUAAGACAUAGAGGCCUCAAGAUGCAUGCUGAUCCACAGGUAUGAGAUUUGACUUCAAACUAGGAAUCAGCUCUAGGCAGAGAGACUAGCUAUGAAACACUUUAAUAAAAUAAUUAUCACCUGCUGGGGCAGAGUUAUAACUUGAAAUUGUCUUCCAUGGAUUAUUGUAAUUUAUAGCAUAUUAUAAUUCAGACAGGGUAAAACUCCUAAUUCCCUGGAUGCUAAGGAAACAACAAAUGUAAAAUACAUGUCAUAUAUCAUACAUCACAUAUUUAACAGCAAGAAUCAGAAAAUAACAGAAUCAGUGAUUAUUACACCAUGGGGAACUGUGUUUUCAGGAAGCAAACACCAAACCUGGAAGUCAUUCUGCUUAACAAAGCCAGGUAGUCAGUGUAAGUUACCAUCUUACCAGCAGUAGCUGCAAUGGAAGAAGCUGUUCCCAGGAAAAGGACAAAUAUGGAAAUCAUUUUCAUGGAAUCUUGUAGUUAAGCAGAUCUCUUUAUGCUUCAGCAGUACGUAGAGCCAUUCUGGAGGACACUGGGAAGGAACAUAGCUAGAAUCGGAG